rnacentral:lncRNA from 1 species
GGAAACGUGGGGGCGACAUAACAACGAUUUGCACACAACAAAUGGAGAAGGUUUUGCAUAAAGCAUGUAGCAGCUUUUUGGUACAACUUGAGUAGCAAACUAAGGGAGAGCCAACAGAAUUUGAAGAUCCAAAUCUACUUCCUUUGCUUGCUGAAUUUUCAAAUAUAUUUGACGAACUGCGCAACCUACCUCUUACCCGUCGGCAUGAUCAUUGUAUAACGAUCCUUCCAGGCAAAUCUUCAGCAAAU